GUGUCAGCCGCCGCGGUAAUACGGAGGGUGCAAGCGUUAUCCGGAUUUACUGGGUUUAAAGGGUGUGUAGGCGGGCUUUUAAGUCAGUGGUGAAAUCUCCGGGCUCAACCUGGAAACUGCCAUUGAUACUAUUAGUCUUGAAUUCUGUUGAGGUAGGCGGAAUAAGUCAUGUAGCGGUGAAAUGCUUAGAUAUGACUUAGAACACCAAUUGCGAAGGCAGCUUGCUAAACAGAUAUUGACGCUGAGGCACGAAAGCGUGGGGAUCAAACAGGAUUAGAUACCCGUGUAGUCC
rnacentral:rRNA from 1 species